AUGAUUGCUACCGUGACACCUUUCUCGCACUCUAGCACAGUGUCAUCUGCAGAAUUUGAAAGGCGCAAGAGAGCAAUUCCUUUGUUGUCUGCCAUGUCUCGCAACUUGAAGAGCCCUGUCCAGACCCAGAUGGGAGUUUCAGCCUUGAGCAGCUCGCUGAUCGGUGAUUACCCUGCCAAAACUAGAAGCGAGGGGAGGGCUGUUGGAUGGAAACGUGUUUUUGUCCAGACUGACACUGGGUUUGUACUGCCUGUUCAACUAGAUCGUGGUGACAGUGUACACACAGUCAAAAGAAAGCUGCAGGUGGCCCUCAAUGUUCCCACUGAGGAGAGUUCUCUGACACUCGGUGAUCAUGUCCUCAAGAAUGAUCUCAGCAGCAUCCGAAAUGAUUCCCCACUGCUCCUGACCAAGACCUUCAUGCAUCGGAGUUCCUCCAGCCCAUGUCUAUCUCCUACAAGCAAGGAUCUCCAGCAGCAAAGGGAUAGGGGCAGUCCAAUUGAAGUUUUAGUAUGUCCAACCCGCUGCAUUCAGGCAAAGCAGCUUGUUAAGGAUGUUGCUAGGGCCAUAAGAAACGGUGUGGAUCCAAAACUUGUCAAUAGUGGGCUUGGUGGUGCCUACUAUUUCAAGAACAGUAAAGGUGAGAAUGCUGCCAUUGUGAAGCCAAAUGAUGAGGAGCCAUUUGCACCCAACAAUCCAAAAGGUUUUACUGGGAGAGCCCUUGGGCAGCCAGGCCUCAAAAGAUCAGUUCGAGUUGGUGAGACCGGUUUUAGAGAGGUUGCUGCAUACCUUCUGGACUAUGAUAACUUUGCUAAUGUCCCCCCGACAGUUCUUGUCAAGAUUUCACAUCCUGUAUUUAAUGUGAAUGAAGGCGUCGGCUCUACCAACAAGAAGGCUUCUGUGGGUGAUCCGCGAACUGUCAGUAAGAUUGCCUCAUUUCAGCAGUUCGCUCCUCAUGAUUUUGAUGCUAGUGACCUUGGCACUUCAAGCUUCCCUGUAGCUGCUAUUCACAGGAUUGGUAUUCUUGACAUCCGAAUCUUCAACACUGAUAGACAUGCUGGAAAUCUUCUGGUAAGAAAGGUGACAGGAGCAGAUCAAUUUGGAAAUCUGACUGAGCUGAUUCCUAUUGACCAUGGUCUCUGCCUGCCAGAGUGUUUAGAGGAUCCAUAUUUUGAAUGGAUUCACUGGCCGCAGGCGUCAAUCCCAUUCUCUGAGGAUGAGCUUGAGUACAUAGGGAAACUUGAUCCAGUGAAAGAUGCUGAGAUGCUUCGCAUGGAGCUGCCUAUGAUCAGGGAAGCGUGCCUCCGUGUGCUAGUCCUCUCAACCAUAUUUCUGAAAGAAGGCACAUUAUUUGGUCUUUGCCUUGCGGAGAUUGGUGAGAUGAUGAGCAGGGAAUUUAACGGGAUGGAUGAUCAGCCAAGUCAGCUAGAGGUUGUCUGCAUGGAGGCAAGGAGGCUAGCAACUGAACGAGAAGAAUGUUCCACAGAACAUGAUUCUGCAGAUGAAGAUGUGACCCAAUUUGAACUUGACUGUGAAGAUCAUGAAAUGCCAAAAACACCACCAGCCUACCAUUUUGAAUUUAAGGGGGGAAGCUCCAGAAACCCGCUGUCUAAAUUGGAAGAGGCCAUUGAAGAAGAGGAAGAUGACAUUCAGGAAGAGGAAGAAAGCAAUGCAGAAAAGUUAGCUUGCCCCAAGCCUGUCAAUAAGUGGCUUCCUAACAUUUCCAAGCUAUCAACCUCACUGAGCAGUGUCAGUCUCAUGGACAAAAGCCAGCGUCAGGUGCCUGCUAUUCCGAAGGGUGCGGAUUCUGUGAAAACCUCUGAAAACAACCAAGUUGGUAACUGGAGGACCGCAAAUGAACAGCUCCCAACAAGCGCAAGCUUUGUGAAGCUUGCCGACAUGGGUGUGGAUGCAUGGGGCCUGUUCCUUGAGAAGUUCCAGGAGCUGCUCCCUGGCGCAUUCCGCGCGCACAAGCUCGGCGCCACCGGGCAGAGGGGGAGGCUGAGGAUGGGUACUUCUUGUCAGUUUUGA
rnacentral:rRNA from 1 species